GCCCAUUGUAGUUAUUUUUAUCCCGGGUUUUAUAAAUAAUUGAAAAUAGCAAUCAUAUUAAAUUUGGAUGACGUAAGGGGGUCAAAGGACUUGAGGAAUCAAUAUCAUUGGCUGUUUUAUUUUUUUGCGAACGUUACUGUUCGAGGUUUCCGUCCAAAUCAGUGUCACGUGAGCAACAUAUAUUUAUAUCUGUAACUCUCCUGUAUAGGAGUUACGAUAUCGCCCUUUGCAGAAAUAGAUUCGGAGUCAGUUCC
rnacentral:lncRNA from 1 species